rnacentral:rRNA from 1 species
UACGAAGGGGGGCUAGCGUUGUUCGGAAUUACUGGGCGUAAAGCGCACGUAGGCGGAUCGAUCAGUCAGGGGUGAAAUCCCAGGGCUCAACCCUGGAACUGCCUUUGAUACUGUCGAUCUGGAGUAUGGAAGAGGUGAGUGGAAUUCCGAGUGUAGAGGUGAAAUUCGUAGAUAUUCGGAGGAACACCAGUGGCGAAGGCGGCUCACUGGUCCAUUACUGACGCUGAGGUGCGAAAGCGUGGGGAG